rnacentral:rRNA from 1 species
UACGGGGGGGGGCAAGCGUUGUUCGGAAUUAUUGGGCGUAAAGGGCUCGUAGGCGGUCCAUCGCGUCGGGAGUGAAAAGCUGGGGCUUAACCCCAGUCCUGCUUCCGAUACGGGUGGACUAGAGGUAGGUAGGGGAGAACGGAAUUCCUGGUGUAGCGGUGAAAUGCGCAGAGAUGUGGAGGAACACCGAUGGCGAAGGCAGUGUUCUGGGCCAGUACUGACGCUGAGGAGCGAAAGCGUGGGGAGCAAACAGGG